CAUUAGGGUCGGGAAAGUAGAAGGAGAAGUCGUAGUAUGAUCCGCAGUUUAAGUCCUGAUUACCGAUGGUGGUAUUCGAAGUCGGUAUGAACAAGAAUGCAGGAGAAUCAAAAGCAAGUCAGGCGGCAGCAGUACACCCUAGGAUGAUGAUGAUGAUGAUAAAGAAGCUGGCAAGGAGACAAGAGGCUGGUGAAAAGAAGGAAAAUCCCAAGAAAGCAUUCUAGGUCAAGUAAAGAAGCAUAUGUAGAAGACCCA